GAAAGAAACCUCAAGCAAAAUGCAAAAUGUUUAAUUUACUCCUAAAUUUUAUCUUAUUUUAAAAGUAUGUACUUAUAUGAAAGGUAUUUUUUAUAUCAGGUGUUCCAUAAUAAGUAUUGGUCAUGUUGUCCGUUUGAUACUUAGCUCAGAGUUCUUAAUUGAUAAUAGUAAUAAUGUAAUCAUAUAAUUAUUACAAAGCAUAAUCAUGAACAAUGAAAUUGUUUAUGUGAAUAAA